rnacentral:rRNA from 1 species
GACGAACGCUGGCGGCGUGCUUAACACAUGCAAGUCGAAAGAAGUGGCGAACGGGUGAGUAAUAAGUGGGUAACCUGCCCUCCUUUUUGGGAUAAGCCUUGGAAACGGGGUCUAAUACCGAAUAAAGGGGGAUGGGCUCGCGGCCGAUGAGCUUGUUGGGGGGGUGAUGGCCUACCAAGGCGGUGACGGGUAGCCGGCCUGAGAGGGUGACCGGCCACAUUGGGACUGCGAUACGUCCCCGACUCCUACGGGAGGCAGCAGUGGGGGAUAUUGCACAAUGGGCGAACGCCUGAUGCAGCGACGCCGCGUGGGGGAGUAAGGCUUUCGGGUUGUAAACCUCUUUCGCUAUCUAACGGUUAGGUGGAGAAUAAGCGCCGGCUAACUACGUGCCAGCAGCCGCGGUAAUAC